rnacentral:rRNA from 1 species
UACAGAGGUGGCAAGCGUUGUUCGGAAUUACUGGGCGUAAAGGGCGCGUAGGCGGUUCGUUAAGUCCGGUGUGAAAUCCCCCGGCUCAACUGGGGAACUGCACAGGAAACUAGCGGGCUUGAGUUCGGGAGAGGGAAGCGGAAUUCCGGGUGUAGCGGUGAAAUGCGUAGAUAUCCGGAGGAACACCGGUGGCGAAGGCGGCUUCCUGGACCGACACUGACGCUGAGGCGCGAAAGCUAGGGGAGCAAACGGG